GCCAGUGUGGUACAAUGGUUUAAAUAUUGGACUACAGCUCUGGAGACCAGGGUUCGAAUCCCCACUCAAUCA